UAGGGAAUCUUCCACAAUGGACGCAAGUCUGAUGGAGCAACGCCGCGUGAGUGAAGAAGGUUUUCGGAUCGUAAAGCUCUGUUGUUGGGUGAAGAAGGAUAGAGGCAGUAACUGGUCUUUAUUUGACGGUAAUCAACCAGAAAGUCACGGCUAACUACGUGCCAGCAGCCGCGGUAAUACGUAGGUGGCAAGCGUUGUCCGGAUUUAUUGGGCGUAAAGCGAGCGCAGGCGGAAUGAUAAGUCUGAUGUGAAAGCCCACGGCUCAACCGUGGAACUGCAUCGGAAACUGUCAUUCUUGAGUGCAGAAGAGGAGAGUGGAACUCCAUGUGUAGCGGUGGAAUGCGUAGAUAUAUGGAAGAACACCAGUGGCGAAGGCGGCUCUCUGGUCUGCAACUGACGCUGAGGCUCGAAAGCAUGGGUAGCGAACAGGAUUAGAUACCCUGGUAGUCCAUGCCGUAAACGAUGAGCGCUAGGUGUUGGGGACUUUCCGGUUGCUCA
rnacentral:rRNA from 1 species